AAUAAACUAGAGGAGAUGAACCUGGACCACUUGAAGCAGAUGCCGAUGUUAGAGACUUUAUCCAUGAUGUGGAACUCACUAGAAGUCAUCUCAUCGUGGACACCUGGAGUUCUAAAGCAUCUAACUUAUCUCGGAUUACAGAACAACCCUCUUCCAUAUGGAAACUAUCUCUGUAACUUCAUCUACCGACUUCCUAUUUCCGACGGAACACUGAGCAACUGUGCGCAGAUACAUGUUUACAACCCGUUCACCGAGCUCACCAAAAGACAUCCCAGCAACUGCACCGCAGUGGAUACGUACAUAUACAACUAC